UCCCAAUUUUUUUUUUUUAAUCUGCGACGUCACCUAAACGACGUCGAUUUUUUUUUAUCUGCGACAUCGUCUCAGCGACGUCGCCCCGCAUAGAGGUAAACCGAGUGGUUUACCUACAUGUACAUACAUAUAUACGUAUGUACAUACAUAUAUAUAUAUAUAUAUAUACUGUAUACAUACAUAUAUACCGAGCGGUAUACCGAAAUAUAUCGCUUGGUAUACAGUACCAUCCCGUACCGAAUAAGUCUCAAAAUUUUGGUACGAUACGAAAUUUCAAUCCUUGAUUCUUUAUAUACUUGCAAGUCCUCUUAUCAUUGUUGAUAAUUACUGUUGCUCAUGAUCUUAUAUGAUCAG
rnacentral:lncRNA from 1 species